AAUUUCUUACCUCAAACUCAAUUAGCCAAAUACACUGACGUCAUCCGAGGUCAUCAAGAUGGCAGCGUUUGACAACUAGCCGGUUUUCUCAUAAGAGUCAAUGCUAAUAUUUUCGGAAUUCAUUUAAAUUUGAGAGUGUGUCAACUGUGUUUUUAUAGUUUGGAGAAAAUGCCUACAUUUUGUGCUGUUGUGGGUUGCGCGAAUCGAAGCACCAGAAAUGCGGACAAAUUUUAUUUUCCUUUCCCAGCAAUUAGCAACAAUAAAGGUAAAUAUAGUAUACAGGAUGGGGAAAAAAGGCGGAAGCUUUGGUUAAAAGCCUUGAAACGAGUGGAUUUAACGAAGCCAAAGUAAAGUAUUCCUAUAUUUGUUCGGAUCAUUUUAUUUUAGGUAAACCUGCAGAUUUGUCGGUUGUGGACCAUCCUGAUUAUAUUCCAUCACAAAAUUUAGGAUAUCAAAAUAAAUCCACUCAAUACUUGUAAUGUUGAAAGACACAGUCGUUUAAAAAAGAGAAAACUGAAUAAAUGGCUCUAGACUUUUGAA